AUUGAACGCUGGCGGCAUGCCUUACACAUGCAAGUCGAACGGCAGCACGGGGGCAACCCUGGUGGCGAGUGGCGAACGGGUGAGUAAUGCAUCGGAACGUGCCCAGUAGUGGGGGAUAGCUCGGCGAAAGCCGGAUUAAUACCGCAUACGACCUACGGGUGAAAGCGGGGGACCGCAAGGCCUCGCGCUAUUGGAGCGGCCGAUGUCAGAUUAGGUUGUUGGUGGGGUAAAGGCCUACCAAGCCGACGAUCUGUAGCUGGUCUGAGAGGACGACCAGCCACACUGGGACUGAGACACGGCCCAGACUCCUACGGGAGGCAGCAGUGGGGAAUUUUGGACAAUGGGGGCAACCCUGAUCCAGCCAUGCCGCGUGCGGGAAGAAGGCCUUCGGGUUGUAAACCGCUUUUGUCAGGGAAGAAAUGCUCUGGGCUAAUACCCCGGAGUGAUGACGGUACCUGAAGAAUAAGCACCGGCUAACUACGUGC
rnacentral:rRNA from 1 species